rnacentral:misc_RNA from 1 species
ACAAACUUGGUCAUUUAGAGGAAGUAAAAGUCGUAACAAGGUUUCCGUAGGUGAACCUGCGGAAGGAUCAUUAACGAGUUAGGGUCUUCUGGCCCGACCUCCCAACCCUUUGUUUAAUUGACCUUAUGUUGCUUCGGCGAGCCCGUCUCUUCAUGGGACCGCCGGAGGGUCGUCUUUAGGCGCCCUCUGGCCCGCGCUCGCCGGUGGCCUUAUUAAAUUCUUGACCAAAACGUGUUUUGAUCUGAGUUACAAACAAAAAAUAAAAGCAAAACUUUCAACAACGGAUCUCUUGGUUCUGGCAUCGAUGAAGAACGCAGC